ACCAUUAACGUACUUUGGACUGGUCAUGGUCAAUAACUAUUCGUAUAUAUAGUUAUCGUGAUUCAGCUUAGUCGCGUGGAAUUCUACCCACAUUUGUGAAAGAUCGUUUCCAUGUUCGUAACAGCAUGCGUGGAUCCCCGUAAUCGAACAUCGCUCCGAAUCCAAGUUUUGUCGAAUCUUAAUCACGUCUUUAGGGAACGUUGAAAUCAAAGGUGAUAAUAUUGUUCCAUGAACUUCGUCUGACUUAACUUCAUUGCUCGGUUCAAAAUUUUAGUACAAUCUGGCUAUCGCAUAUCGUUGCAAUUAUCGGUGCUAAUCACAUUUCUUUAUACUCUUCUUCAUUUAUCAAAUCAUCAAUCAAACAACAAAUGAAAUUUUUUUCUGCCUUUCAUUUCAUUAUUAGAAAAAUCGAAGGACUAUCCGCUGCAGAGUAACGUUGUUAAUUUGCCGAUUCGAUUGGCAACUAGUUGAACGGUUCAGAAUUCUCGGUGGUAUAAAUUCAGGCGUUUUUUGUUGAAUCCGAGAGCCAGUCAGUUUCGAAGAAUCAAUGAUGUCGGGAUCUCUGCAUUACCAAUCUCUGUUGGCAAAAAUUUUUUUCGUCCAAGAACACCUCGGAAGGUUCAAAAUUCGCGUUACAUUCGCUACCUUUAAUUCAGUCAAUGUUAAAGACGGGAUCGUCUUACCGAUGUUGUGAUUCAGCCGGUUUUUUCUUUCAUUACUUUUUUUGGAAGAAAAAAAUUAAUUGAGUUAUCGCUCGAAGCGUUUUUUUUUCUCAUAUCCAAAAUUCACUUAAUACAUCAAUUUUUUAUUCAUGCUAAUGUCUAGCUGUGAUUUUUGUCGCCUUAAAAUAUUAUUACACAAACUUAUAAAUGGUAAAUAAAUUUUAAUAUACAUCAGAUUCACUGCGGUCGAUCGGUUAAUUAAUUUAUCGAACUUGUUACGAAUUCUGAAUUUUGUACAUAAAUUAUGGCGGCGAAUUACAGUAAAUCGACGGUGUAUCCGCGGGAGCAUCGAUAAUUUAUUUAUAUAACAUCCCAGAUCAUGUAAAUUAGUAUUGAAUAUCAUUAAUCAAAUUGAUUGUAUUACAGUCCUAUUAACCCACGCGCAGUUUCAUGUUUUAAUCUGAUUUAAGAUACGGCGAUGACAAGAUAGUCGGAUUCGAGAAUAGUAGUAAGUGCAAAUUGCGCGUAUGAAGUUUGUCAAAUAUAUUUAUAUUCGUAGCAGAAAAAGCGAAAAAUCACGAGACAUCGAAUCCCGCGGUGGUGCUGCAUAUGAAGUUACCGUUACGAACGAGCAAAUUGUAUGAGUAUGUUAAUUAUUGAGAAUUCGCUGCACAUUACAUAUUCCGGGAACUCGAAAUAUCUCCGUACUGCAGAUUAUUUAUACUCAUAGACAUAGAUGUAGGGAAGAUAAUGUGGUCAUUUGGUAUAAACUCUCCAUGUUUUAUGCGAACAUAUGCGCGUACAUGAGAAAACUUUGCUGUAAAUUGCAUUUAAAGACCUUGUCCUUCGUUCGCAUUACAUUCGAUUAUCAUCGUAGGUAUGACAGUUAUGGGUAUUUAUAGUAGUACAAAAUCGCGAUCAUCGAAAUGAAAGAUAUUGAAAAUUGAAACGGUCCAGUUAUCGCCGAAUUUUCGCCUCUUCAUAAGCUCUCAAAAAUGGCGGAGAGAACUGAAAAAAAAAAGAACGAAACCUGCACUCGAGUGUUUAAUGAACGAAAUAAAUUGCAGCCGAUCUUGAUUCACGCCCGAAAUUUAUUACAUGUUCAGGUGUUCACGCGUCGCUGCUGAAUUAAUUGCACCUGCAGCUUGUACCGGAAAUGAGUCGCAGCGUUGAAGAAGCAAAAAAAAAAGAAUGAAAUCGCCAAGUGCUGAGGAGAUAAAAAGAGAAUCUUAUAUGAAUUAGUACCGGAGGUUUUGUUGAUGGUUUUGUUUGAAAUUUUCAGGGUUUCGCACCAGAUCUCUGAAUUCUGCGGGUUCUUUCGCUGGCAUGCUGCGCAGCGCCUGUAACGCGGUAAGACGAAGAAAAAGAAUAAUAAGGAAAAAAAGAAGACGAAGAAGAAGAAGAGGAAGAUGUGUUCUCCGCCCUGUUGGCGACGGUCAUAAAUAUCGUCGCUAACGGAACCAUCGGGGCCUCCAAAUGAAGGUGGUCGAAGGCGUCCGAACACGGUUAUACGCGAAGCCGUUAAUGAUCAAAUUAUCUCAAAACGAGACGACUGGUCAUCCGAUCACGAGUGACGUCAGAUCGUUUAAUUCCACCAAUUAUUUGCCUAAUUGUUCGUAUUCCAACCUGCACUACGGUAGCCCCGUGCGUGUCGCAUUUAUGGCGAAUAAUUUAAUAUUCGCGCGGUAUUGAGCCGACCUCAAGUGCGAAUCGUUCGGAGCCAUUAAUGGGAUCUUAUUGUGUUACGUGUUUUUUUUUUGCGACCUUGUAGAUCGUUUUUUUUCACUUUUUUCUAAAUUUUUCUUUCUCCUUUAUUGCAGAGCUAAUGCAACGUUGACGUACCCAUGCACGGAGGCACCUGUGCGAACCACGACCGUGGCCAUGAUGGCAUGCUGAAAAAAUGAUGCCAUUUCCUCUUUCGCGGUAUUAUUAUUACAGUAUAGCAACGAUAGUAAUGAAAGGUAUAUAGAUGCAAACCACAUGCGAGAUAUAUAUUUUUUUAUCGAUCGGUUCAGAUACACGUCAUGAUAAAACGCGAGAACGCGACAAAAGAUGAAUUCAAUUUCAGAGAAUCCAGAUUCAGGAAAAAGGAGAGGAAAAAUUUGAAAAAUGUUUUAAUUUUUCACAUACUACGCUCCGCGGUAUUACAUCGGCGAUCGAUUAUAAAAGUUUAAUAACUGCUAAUUAGAGUAUGAAUUGUAUUACAUCCCGUAUCUAUUUCCGUUACGCAACUCACAUAAUUUUAUGAUUAAUUGCAAUAACCACUUUCUUGUUAAAUGCUUAAAACUUAUAAGUACGAUUUACGAGUUCGAUUUUUGCUGGGAGAAUUUCAUGUUAAUUUAUAACGCGGCGACUGAUUACUUUAUGAUCUACAAACGAGUCUGAUGUAAUUAAUUUAUAUCGAACGAUCAUCGAUCAAAGUGCCAUGCCAUUGAUAAGCGUUUGUAAAUAUGUAUGGGAUACGCAAUUACACGAUAUAACUGUCGUACGCGUGCAUUCAUUCAUCAAUUCAUUUACAAUUCUUGGAAUUGUAAGUAGUAAUUGAAUCUAUCGCGUAGCGCUAUGUGAUUUAUAUAAUAUAUAAGUUGUAUUCCGCUUUAUCGAGUAAUGUUUUUUUUUUUCCUUUUUUUUUUUUUUUGCAAAUCUUUUUCAUUUUUGUACAGGGAUUUCCGGUUUUUCAAUAACUAUUAUCGAUUUAUGGAAAUUCCAUUUUUAUCCCACGAGGUAAUUGUAAUGUCAUUAUAAUUAUACGCACGUGAAUGCGAACAAUUUUAUUGAUGGUAACUACACUUCGUAUAGUGUGCGACAGUCGAAUACCAAUUGAUUUUCCAUUUUUUUUUUUCAUUCUUUUUUCAUUUUAGUUUUUGGAAUUUCAUGCAUCAUACCCGUUCGUACGUCACUUCAUUUUUUUUUUCGACGGAUACAAAAACGACUAGAGAAAAAUUUUUUCUCAACAUUUCUUUCAAAUCAGAAAAUUUAAUUGUUAUUAUUUCACGGGUACAAUUUGUCAAAAUAAUUGUGGAGUAUCCUAUCGAUGUUGUUACGAGUGAUUUAUAGUAAAUAUUAUCAUAGUAAUUCAGACUUGGGAUCGUUGAGAGAGGAAAAAGAAGAAAAAAAACUGAAGGGGGGGGAGAAAAAAAUGAUUUCGAAUCGGACGAACGACGAUCGGUGUAACAUGGCAUAUGAUUGAUCCGGAAGCUUCUUGAAUACCCGAUCGAUCGUUGGCUUCUCUAGGCCAAGGUCUGAUGCAUGUAUUAUUCAUAUUUUUAAUUUAUGGAGCCUAACCCUAAAAUACGCAAAUCGGACUAUGUAACUGUUAUACGGGAACAUCAUAUGUACACGCGUUCGCCGAUACACCCGUACUUCUCAUAAAUUUCUACAGGAAACUGUGACGAUUUCAUGUGAAAAACAAACAUUUGCAACCCCUGCACAUGUGCGGUUAGCACGUUUUCUGCUACCGAUCACAGGUAUGGAGAUUUCGCGAGUUCCAGCGCCGUUUUCCUCAGCCUUUCCUUCUCUUCGUCCUGCGGUAAAAUUCCAGGAACACGCGCACCCGUUGAACAGGGACUCCCCGCGGUAGCAGGAGCAGCGAGAUUCAUAGUAGAUAGAAUCGCCGUGGGUUUGUCGGUGGACAUAAAUUCGCGUUAGAAUAUAUAGCCGUUUAAAUUUUGCCGCCCGAUUGAAUAUAACAGCCGGGAGUUGGGCGAAUUCAUGCAGGACUCGAGACGAGUAUACAUUAAAUUGAGAAACGCCGGAAAUCCAGGAGGUGUAUAAAAGGCGACUCGUCGCGCAUUCCUCGCAAGGAUAUCUACCCGUACGACGCGUAACACGAAAAAAACUGCAGUUGAACAGCUCGAGGAUAACAGAAUCGGUACCAAUAAGGAAAUUCAUGCCACACCAUCGCGCGAGCUGACUUUGGUGGGCGUCUUUAUAUUGCACGAAAACAGUUAUGACCUUGUGCAAACGGUUCCAACGCCAUAUCAUUUACAAGCCUGGAAAUCGCGCGGCUCAUGCGGAGACUUUGAUGCGUGUGCAAGCUUCGUAUCGUCAACGACGAACCGGUGAGCGACUGGGCGGGUGGAAUAAAAUUUGAAAAAUCAAUCUCGCGGUCGACUCGCGACCCCGUAAAGUUUACCGACGAUCUCGAAUCGAACGUUACGGUCCCCGAUGACGAUGCCGAUGGUCCAAUUCCAGAUAUAUUUUCUGACUCAUUGUCAGCGAUCGCCGCGAAGUACCGGCUACCUUCAGAUGACUCGAUAGUUACGUAUGGAGGAGAACUGGAUCAGCGUUCGUUGGCUAAUGGGGGAGGAAAAGAGAAAAUAAGAAACGAACAAAAUGAAAUGGAUAUAAAAAACUGAAUUCUCGUCAACGUAUAACGAGACUCCUGGGUGGCUUCGAAUGACUGACGAUGAAGUUGAAGUCCAUCUGCAAUGCGACGAGAACCGAUGGGGUGGCCGCCAUAUUGCAACCGCUUUUGAUCAUACGAGAAUAAUUUUGCAAUUGAAAUCCUACAGGCAUCUGUGCGUUCACAGAUUUCAGACAUCCCACAAGAAGACUGGGACUUCCCUCCAUAUUCUUAGUCAAUACAAUUCUCAGGCGAAAAUAGACAUCUGGCCCUGCAGAAAAUUUUAUCCGAUUCACACUCGAAAUCUUCGUCCAAAAAGUGAUCUCUUUGUAGAAGUCUAUUCUUCUCAAUGAAAAAGGAUAUCAAUCUUCAAAAAACUGAAACCGUUGAACGUCGCGAAAUUUUCUUUUGUGCUGUCAUUUGUUACGUUACAUUCUCCGUUUGCAGAGUCAUUGAAAAUCGAUUUAAUAAAAACCGAUAAAUUAUCUGUGGAGAUGAGUUUACUGUAAAUUCGAUCACAAAGUUCAUUUGUCAAAUGAGAUUCCUUCUCGCACCUCAACUUCCUGUUCUGAGUUUUAAUCGAGCUGAAUUUAAAAAAAUGGGAGGAAAAAAAAACAAAUUGAUCGCAGGUAUGUCAAAGUAUAAGCCAAAAGAUAACAAGCAAUCGUAUGGCGGGAGGCGUGCAAACAUCCGUGCCCUGUACCUUUGGUACUUUUAAAGGAUUCGGUACACACUACAUACGUAUACGAAGAUAUUCGCGAAUGGUAAUACUUGGAAGUGGAAAUUGCCCGUUACUUUGACCGAAAUGGCGACCGUUGGGCUAAC